AAUAAGGGAGUAGCCGACGGAAAUAUCCGUGGCAAGGUCGUCAAUCCGAAAGCAAUUUCCGGCCUUGUCUUAAACAGCGAGACUUGUUUCUAAAAACAGGUCUCUUUUU
rnacentral:ncRNA from 1 species